rnacentral:lncRNA from 1 species
GCAGCCAUCGACGUGAAUUGCAGCUGUUGCUCCACUGCAGUCUGCUGCAGCUCGCCAUGGACCAAGCACUGCUUGGCUGCAGUCACAACGCACGUGAGAAUGCCAUUAGCAUUUAAUCCUAAUUACCUUACGUGGACCCAAGUUUGAGAUGGAUCCAGCAGUUCAGCCAUGCGUUUGCCUGGGCUUUUUGGGUGAUCCAGCAGGCUAGACGGUAGAGGAAGAUAGCCAGCAGAAGAAAGAAUCUCUGCCACAGUAUUGCAGGUUGGUCAUUAUUUAUUAUAUGUUUAGAAAAACAGACUGAGUCGUACCAGCUGAUUGAGACUUCAGGGAGCAGUGUAGUGAUUGACUUGGUAGCAAUCUUUAUUCCUCGCAGCAGCCAUCUGUACUGGGAGGAACCAGUACCCUCAGGUAAUGCUGCCAAUCAAGAUACUGAUGUUUUAAAAAGUGGAAGUGAUCAGGUGGAACAUUUUUAAGGGUAUUUUAAGUCCAGGCUGUUAGCCAUAUGCCAAGGCGAGUUACUACACUUCACCGUCAGAGACUCAUCUUCAUUUUGGAUACACUAUUCUCUUUUCAUUUCCUCUUUCAAGAAUUAUUCUAAAUAUUUCUAAGAAUUGUCGCAUUCCACCCCAUGUAAGACCUUUGUAAACUCUAAGGCUCAUGUAACCUUCAUUCCUCAGGUCAGCAGCAAGGCAGGAAAGCCAGCAGGAAAACCACCUUCCUAGGUGCCACUUGGGCUGGAUCAGUGGGAUAAGGAGGUGCCCCCCAGGGGUCAGAGCCAAGCUGGAAGGAGCAGCCUGAGCAGGAGCUGGGAGCAGGGCAGUGGGCUGGAGGAGUGGUGCCUGCCCAUGCUGCUGAGUAGGAAAUCCACCCACAGAGUAUUAUGUGAUUACCCGUCACUCUUUGUGGACCUGGGGCUUGGCAUUGCCAACAGAGAAACUACAGCACAGUUCAACAGCAAGGUACGAGACAGAAAUGCAGUGUACGAGACUUCUCUAGACAGAUUUGGGCAAAGCGUGACCCUACAUGAAGACAGAAAAGAAGGAAGGUGGCAGAAGAUGGAGGAAAAAAUCCUACAGAACAGCAGAAAGGGAGAUUUGGAGGAAACAGCAGAUUUACAGAGACCUAUUUCUACGAGUGUGUCUCAGCGACUGUUGUGUUUUCCAUGGGAACCGAGAAAUACCAGCUGGGUGAUUACCUGCUUUGGAGCUGUUGCAGUAGGAAAAUUGCACGGAGCUCUUUGUGAGAUGCAACAUCAAGGCAAGGAGCUACAAUAA